rnacentral:tmRNA from 1 species
GGGGGCGAAAAGGGUUCGACGGGGAUCGUUGACGGCAGGGCUGCAUACCGAGGUCCCAUUGGCUCGUUAAACAAAUGGGAUUAAACAUAAUCGCAGCCAACUACGAUUAUGCCCUGGCUGCCUAAGCGCAGCCAGCGUCCCUCCUGCCUCCUCCUGUAGGGCGGGAUGUGGGCGUCAAACUUACAGGAUAGCUUCUCUCUGACGCUUAUAGGGGAGAGGCGAAACUUCCUAAGCUCACCCUUUCGGGAUCCUGCCUGUUGGGAGACCGUCAGGGGAAACUAAAACACAGGCUAAGUAUGUAGAGGCUCUGUCGGAAGGUUCUCGGACGCGGGUUCGAUUCCCGCCGCCUCCACCA